rnacentral:rRNA from 1 species
AUUGAACGCUGGCGGCAGGCCUAACACAUGCAAGUCGCACGAGUGGCGGACGGGUGAGUAAUGUCUGGGAAUCUGCCCGAUGGAGGGGGAUAACUACUGGAAACGGUAGCUAAUACCGCAUCCUAUCGGAUGUGCCCAGAUGGGAUUAGCUAGUAGGUGGGGUAAAGGCUCACCUAGGCGACGAUCCCUAGCUGGUCUGAGAGGAUGACCAGCCAAACUGGGACUGAGACACGGUCCAGACUCCUACGGGAGGCAGCAGUGGGGAAUAUUGCACAAUGGGCGCAAGCCUGAUGCAGCCAUGCCGCGUGUAUGAAGAAGGCCUUCGGGUUGUAAAGUACUUUCAGCGGGGAGGCGUUACCCGCAGAAGAAGCACCGGCUAACUCCGUGCCAGCAGCCGCGGUAAUAC